rnacentral:rRNA from 1 species
CCCUACGGGGCGCAGCAGGCGCGAAACCUCUNCAAUGCGGGAAACCGUGACAGGGGGAUCCCAAGUGCUCAUGCAUUGCAUGGGCUGUUCUUUGGUCUAAGUAACCANGAGGAGUAAGGGCUGGGCAAGACCGGUGCCAGCCGCCGCGGUAAUACCGGCAGCUCAAGUGGUAGCCGCGAUUAUUGGGCCUAAAGCGUUCGUAGCCGGAUAAGUAAGUCUUUGGUUAAAUCCUGCGACUUAACCGUGGGAAAUCUAGAGAUACUKCUUGUCUUGAGACCGGGAGAGGUUGGAGGUACUCCCAGGGUAGGGGUGAAAUCCUGUAAUCCUGGGGGGACCACCUGUGGCGAAGGCGUCCAACUGGAACGGGCUCUGACGSUGAGGGACGAAACCUAGGGGAGCGAGCCGGAUUAGAUACCCGGGUAGUCCUASGCGUAAAUGAUGCGAGUUAAGUGUGGGGGCAUCUACCANAUGGCCCUGUGCUGUANGGUAGCCGUUAAACUCGCCGCCUGGGGAGUACGGUCGCAAGGCUGAAACUUAAAGGAAU